UGAAUCGUUAGCUCCUGGUACGGU
rnacentral:piRNA from 1 species